AGAGUUUGAUCCUGGCUCAGAACGAACGCUGGCGGCAGGCCUAACACAUGCAAGUCGAGCGCAUCCUUCGGGGUGAGCGGCGGACGGGUUAGUAACGCGUGGGAACGUACCUUUUGCUACGGAAUAGCCCUGGGAAACCGGGGGUAAUGCCGUAUGUGCCCUUUGGGGGAAAGAUUUAUCGGCAAGAGAUCGGCCCGCGUUGGAUUAGGUAGUUGGUGGGGUAAUGGCUCACCAAGCCUACGAUCCAUAGCUGGUUUGAGAGGAUGAUCAGCAACACUGGGACUGAGACACGGCCCAGACUCCUACGGGAGGCAGCAGUGGGGAAUCUUGGACAAUGGGGGCAACCCUGAUCCAGCCAUGCCGCGUGAGUGAAGAAGGCCCUAGGGUCGUAAAGCUCUUUCGCCGGGGAAGAUGAUGACUGUACCCGGUAAAGAAACCCCGGCUAACUCCGUGCCAGCAGCCGCGGUAAUUC
rnacentral:rRNA from 1 species